UGGCCGGGAAGAGGUCAGGGGAGCAAGGGGGCCACGGGGAUCCGGGGCGUGGGACUCGGGCCCCGGCCUGAGUCUUAGGUAUCCGUAGCGCCCUCCUUCUUCCUCCUCUUCGCUGAAUACAGCUCACGGUAAGUACUGGUUCACACAGUUCGUUCUCGGGGUGCUCACUCUCUUUCUCUUCCUCCACAGGCAACGGCUGGGACACACAGGCACAGUUAGUUCAGCUUGGUUUUGCUCUCACCUCUUCGCUGAUUACAGCUCACAGUAAGUACUGGUUCACACAGUUCGUUCCUUGGGUGCUCACUCGCUUUCUCUUUCUCCACAGGCAUCAACUUGGGCACACUAGCACAGUUAGUUUGCUUUGAAUGGCUCUCACCUCUGGGCUGAACACAGCGUACUGUAAGUACAGGUUUCCUCUGUUUCUCCUUGUGUUACUCACUCUCUCUUUCCUUUUCUCUCCACAGGUAUCAACUUGGGCACAAUAGCACAGUUAGUUUGCUUUGAAUGGCUCUCACCUCUGGGCUGGACACAGCGUACUGUAAGUACAGGGUUCGCUCUGUUUCUCCUUGUGUU
ensembl:lncRNA